rnacentral:rRNA from 1 species
GCGGCGGACGGGUGAGUAACACGUGGGUAACCUGCCCGUAAGACCGGGAUAACUCCGGGAAACCGGGGCUAAUACCGGAUAACACCGGAGGCCGCAUGGCUUCCGGUUGAAAGGCGGCCUUUGGCUGCCACUUACGGAUGGGCCCGCGGCGCAUUAGCUAGUUGGCGGGGUAACGGCCCACCAAGGCGACGAUGCGUAGCCGGCCUGAGAGGGUGGACGGCCACACUGGGACUGAGACACGGCCCAGACUCCUACGGGAGGCAGCAGUAGGGAAUCUUCCGCAAUGGGCGAAAGCCUGACGGAGCGACGCCGCGUGAGCAGGAAGGCCUUCGGGUCGUAAAGCUCUGUUGUCAGGGAAGAAGGCNCGCCGUUCGAAUAGGGCGGCGCGGUGACGGUACCUGACAAGGAACCCCCGGCUAACUACUUGCCACCACCCCCGGUAAAAC